CCGGCGCUGUAGCUGUGAGCUCUCCAGGUCAUUCCUGUGCGUGCCCACCAGAGAGCGCUGCAGUGCGCCGCUCCGGGACCGUUUACAGUACAGAUGCCCAGGAAGUGGGGCCUGGUGGUGGCCCGUACUCUGCAUUUCUAGCAAGCCACCGGUGACGCCCUGGGCCCGUACAGACCACUGCCCACACGGCUGUUUACACUCAGGUGCUUCCUCUCCUUGCUUCACUCCUGGCUCACAGACCACGCGGGGUUAGUGGCUGCUGUGUUGUGCGCACGCAGCCCCUGGACAAUCUCGCAGGACACUGAGCUAGAGCAAAUCGCCUGCCCCUGAACUUCCUGAGGUCAACACUGAUGCCUGGAGCCCCAGCUUCAGCACUGGGGUGGCCUUGGGUCAUCCCCGUGGCAUCUAUUAUCUUACUGGUGACUGCCCAACAGAGAGGACAUUAACGCACUUUCCAAAGACACAAGCUCAUUCAUAUACAACACAAAGGAGGCUCAAAGAAAAUUUAAAUAACAUGGCUAUUAAAGGAAAAUUGAAAGGAGCAAAGCCUAAGGGUCUCACUCACAGGUAGAAGACAGGAAUAAGUGACAGCUG